rnacentral:rRNA from 1 species
UGGGGGAUAUUGCGCAAUGGGGGAAACCCUGACGCAGCAACGCCGCGUGAAGGAUGAAGGUCUUCGGAUUGUAAACUUCUUUUAUUAAGGACGAAGAAAGUGACGGUACUUAAUGAAUAAGCUCCGGCUAACUACGUGCCAGCAGCCGCGGUAAUACGUAGGGAGCAAGCGUUGUCCGGAUUUACUGGGUGUAAAGGGUGCGUAGGCGGCUUUGCAAGUCAGAUGUGAAAUCUAUGGGCUCAACCCAUAGCCUGCAUUUGAAACUGCAGAGCUUGAGUGAAGUAGAGGCAGGCGGAAUUCCCCGUGUAGCGGUGAAAUGCGUAGAGAUGGGGAGGAACACCAGUGGCGAAGGCGGCCUGCUGGGCUUUAACUGACGCUGAGGCACGAAAGCGUGGGUAGCAAACAGG